rnacentral:rRNA from 1 species
GAUGAACGCUAGCGGCAGGCUUAAUACAUGCAAGUCGUGGGGCAGCAUGAAUGUAGCAAUACAUUUGAUGGCGACCGGCAAACGGGUGCGGAACACGUACACAACCUUCCUAUAAGUGGGGAAUAGCCCAGAGAAAUUUGGAUUAAUACCCCGCAACAUAACGAUGUUGCCUCACAUUGUUAUUAUAGCCUCGGCCCCUAUUGAUGGGUGGGCGGCUGAUUAGAUAGUUGGCGGGGUAACGGCCCACCAAGUCUACGAUCAGUAGCUGAUGUGAGAGCAUGAUCAGCCACACGGGCACUGAGACUCGGGCCCGACUCCUACGGGAGGCAGCAGUGGGGAAUUUUGGACAAUGGGCGCAAGCCUGAUCCAGCAAUGCCGCGUGCAGGAAGAAGGCCUUCGGGUUGUAAACUGCUUUUGUCAGGGAAGAAACGGUUGUGGCUAAUAUCCAUGGCUAAUGACGGUACCUGAAGAAUAAGCACCGGCUAACUACGUGCCAGCCGCCGCAGUAAGAC